GUUGUGGCUCAGCGGUGCAGUGCUUGUCUAGCACAUGCGAGGCCCUGGGUUCAAUCCUCGGCACCACAUAAAAAUAAAUAAAAUAAAGGUAUUGUGUCCAACUACAACUAAAAAUUAAGGGGGAAAAAAAAGAAUGAAACACUUUUGGGCAUUUAGCGGAAGGGCAAACCAUUGUAAACACCAUAGCAAUUUGAAGUUGUUAUCAUCACCACACAGUAUGGUAAUUGAUGUUGGUGAUGAUACUGUCCCCAGUAUUUAGAAUAAGACACACGGCAUGAAAUGAAGUUAGAGUUCAGAUCUCUAGCAGAAAAGGGCCAUUUCAUACACCUCAUUUAAGAAAUGGGAAGGAAAUGUACAAGUAGGGGAUGGGGACUGAAUAAGAAGCUGCUGUCAGGGAAUUUCUACAGGACAAUUCAAGGAAGAGGUUUUCUUCAGAAUGAAAAACAAGUGAAGGAUCUUUAUUUUAAUUCUUCAGGAAAUGAGUUACUUAAGAGUGAAUUGAAAACCUCUGAAAUUUGAAAAGAGGUGCUGUGGCCGUGUAGGAGACAGUAAUAACUUGAACCAGCUGUAGGGACUGAGGUUGAUUUUUAUACCUCUAGGUAGAAAACAGAUGAAAUUUUUGCAUCUUAGCCUUGUUUCUUUCCUUGUUUUUUAUGAUCUUAGCCUUAUUUCUUUCCUUGUUUUUUUAUGAUCUGCUUUUGGACCCAGACUGGUUUGGUCAUGGCUAUGAGGAAGUGAACAAGUAAUCCCCAUGUCCUUACAGACAGUGAAGGGUACCUCUCUGUAAGAUUGAUGUGAGGAUUGAAUGGCUGCACCUAAAGAUUUUGGAAUGGUGCCGGUCACAUAGUAUGUUAGCUGUUUAAAGAUUGGUAUGUAUGCUUUGUGUCAGUUACCAAAAAAAAAAAAAGCUGAAAGUAUAUUCAGAAUAUUUCAAGAUGUUAAGUAUCACCCAGUAGAUGCAAGACAAAAAUUAUAACUGAG
rnacentral:lncRNA from 1 species